UAAGGAAUAUUGCGCAAUGGGCGAAAGCCUGACGCAGCGACGCCGCGUGGGGGAUGAAGGUCUUCGGAUUGUAAACCCCUUUCGGCAGGGAAGAUGGAACGGGUAACCGUUCGGACGGUACCUGCAGAAGCAGCCACGGCUAACUUCGUGCCAGCAGCCGCGGUAAUACGAAGGUGGCAAGCGUUGUUCGGAUUUACUGGGCGUACAGGGAGCGUAGGCGGUUGGGUAAGCCCUCCGUGAAAUCUCCGGGCCUAACCCGGAAAGUGCGGAGGGGACUGCUCGGCUAGAGGAUGGGAGAGGAGCGCGGAAUUCCCGGUGUAGCGGUGAAAUGCGUAGAGAUCGGGAGGAAGGCCGGUGGCGAAGGCGGCGCUCUGGAACAUAUCUGACGCUGAGGCUCGAAAGCGUGGGGAGCAAACAGGAUUAGAUACCCGCGUAGUCCCUGAGCGGGCUGGCAAGGCG
rnacentral:rRNA from 1 species